CCUACGGGAGGCAGCAGUAGGGAAUAUUGGGCAAUGGAGGCAACUCUGACCCAGCCAUGCCGCGUGCAGGAAGACGGCCCUCUGGGUUGUAAACUGCUUUUGAAUGGGAAGAAUGUGAUGUUUGCGAGCAUUAAUGACGGUACCAUUAGAAUAAGCCACGGCUAACUACGUGCCAGCAGCCGCGGUAAUACGUAGGUGGCGAGCGUUAUCCGGAUUUAUUGGGUUUAAAGGGUGCGUAGGCGGCUUAAUAAGUCGGUGGUAAAAGGUAGCAGCUUAACUGUUUUACAUGCCAUCGAUACUGUUGAGCUUGAGUUAUUUGGAGGCAGCUAGAAUUUCCGGUGUAGCGGUGAAAUGCAUAGAUACCGGAAGGAAUACCGAUUGCGAAGGCAGGUUGCUACGAAUAUACUGACGCUGAUGCACGAAAGCGUGGGGAUCAAACAGGAUUAGAUACCCUGGUAGUCCACGCAGUAAACGAUGAUUACUAGAUGUUGGCUUAUGGUCAGUGUCCAAGGGAAACCGAUAAGUAAUCCACCUGGGGAGUACGCCGGCAACGGUGAAACUCAAAUGAAUUGACGG
rnacentral:rRNA from 1 species